AAUUAUUGGUCUAAAUGACAUUAAUAUAAGUUAUAUUUUUGUGUAUGCACAGUUGUAUAUAUUUUAUUGUCUCACUUUAAUCUGUCUGUAAAAUAACUCCCGAGUUUAAUUCCCGAGUUUGAACUAAUUUGGUGCAAAGGAAGCCGCUUGAAAUGUCCAAAAGUAGCGGGAAAAAGAUAUACACGUAUCUAUUACGAGUAUAUUAUUAUAACACGACACAAUAUUGUAUGCUAGUCUCUAUUUUCGGAGAAAAUUCGACAACAAUGAUGAUAACUUCAAAGCCUAUUAUUAAAUAAAAUUGAUCAUAGAAAAAAUUAUAGAAAUAAAAUGAGUGAUUUUUCAUUAAAAAAAAAAAAUGUACCGUCAACUUUAAUACGUGAACCAUAAUGUAUUGUGCCUAUGCUGUAGGUAAUUGUAAUAUAUCUAGAUGUUAAUGACAGGUACGAUAAUCAGGUCAUUGCGUUCGCUCGGGAGAUAUGUGUUAUCAUCAGUAUGAACACAAUAAUUCUAGUCGGUUCCGUUUCGACUAUAAUAUGAGUAUAGGUGUAGGUAAUAAUAUAUCCGUUGAUGAGUACUCCAAGGUUAGAUACCUGCCGAUAUAAAUUACACGGCAUCACAUGUGCGUGGUGCCCAUAACGGUUAUAACACUUCGAAAUUUUUCGUAAAUGCACUCGGUACGUUAGGAAAAUAGUAUUUUUUUCAGACGGACAGACGGAUGUCGACAUGAGUACGGUCCUCCAGAACUAAGCGGCGCAUAACAUUUAACAGUUAAAAUUCUAUAAAGUGUUCUCACAAAUUUUAAAGUUAACGGUCGUAGAUUGUUCGUUAUAAGGGCUUAUUAGACACCUUUCGAAGUUUGUUACGAUAUUUUAUAAUCGCCACAAAUCAACUUGUGCAUCGAUAUUUUUACACAAGCAGCGCAAAAGUUUGUAUCCGUAUAUUUCAACUUAUACUGCCCUUCAAUAAAGGGACAUACAGUAAACACCAACUUGUUAAAAAUGAGAUUAUUCCAUAUUAUCAAAAUUAAAUAAUAAAUUCUGCGCCUAUUCUUUUCAAGGUCAACUGUCAGCUGUAAAAACCACUACGAAUACCUCAUAAAUAAAUUUUAAUACGUCGUAACAACCAAAAAUUUCAUCCAAUA